UACGGAGGGGGCUAGCGUUGUUCGGAAAUACUGGGCGUAAAGCGCACGUAGGCGGCGCAGCAAGUCAGGGGUGAAAUCCCGGGGCUCAACCUCGGAACUGCCUCUGAAACUGCAGUGCUAGAAUCUUGGAGAGGCGAGUGGAAUUCCGAGUGUAGAGGUGAAAUUCGUAGAUAUUCGGAAGAACACCAGUGGCGAAGGCGACUCGCUGGACAAGUAUUGACGCUGAGGUGCGAAAGCGUGGGGAGCAAACAGG
rnacentral:rRNA from 1 species